rnacentral:rRNA from 1 species
UACGUAGGGGGCAAGCGUUGUCCGGAAUUACUGGGCGUAAAGCGUGCGCAGGCGGCGCGUUAAGACAGGUGUGAAAGCCCCGAGCUUAACUUGGGAAUUGCGCUUGUGACUGGCGUGCUGGAGUGUGGCAGAGGGAGGUGGAAUUCCACGUGUAGCAGUGAAAUGCGUAGAGAUGUGGAGGAACACCGAUGGCGAAGGCAGCCUCCUGGGCCAGCACUGACGCUCAUGCACGAAAGCGUGGGGAGCAAACAGG